rnacentral:ncRNA from 1 species
UUGAAAAAUAGCAUUUGCACAUAGUGGAUAUCUAGGCAGUAUAAUUAUAGUAAUAUUGACGUAAAAAAAACGAAAUUUUAAAGUAGAUCGAUUCUGUAACUUUAAAUUUAUUAACCAAAUAUUGUAUCUUUUCUAUUUUAGGUUAAUCUUUAUAUGAUCAAUAAUAGUGUAAGGAAUUGAAACAUCUAAGUACUUACAAAAAUAGAAUAAAAAAUAGAUUGUGGAAGUAGUGGCGAGCGAACCCAUAUUUUAUAGACAUUUGUUGAAUCUCUUUUGGUUGAAAUUAAUUUGGAAAUAGUUAGCAUAUUAUGAUGCGAAUAGCUUAUAUAUAUAUCUAUCCAUAGAAGGUUAUAGUCCUGUAAAACAAAAGAAUCAUUUAUAGCAUUUUACAAAGUGUAAAGUAGGAUAUGGUAUAUCCAAACUUUUGAGUAAACCCACUUAUGUUGUCUAAAAAAAUUAACUGACCGAAAGUGUACUAGUACCGUGAGGGAAAGAUGAAAAGACUCUUGAAUCUAAAGUAAGUUAAAAGCUAAAUCUUGAAACUGUGUGUUAUUUAAGCAUUUAUAGUUCUCCUUUACAAUCAAUGUUAUUCGGGGAACAGUAUUAUACCUUUUGCAUCAUGGGUCGAUUAGUUUAUUUUAAAAGCAUGCUUAAGCUGAUAAGUAGUAAGCAUAGGGAAUCCAAGUUUUUUAUUGCUGUAGUUUUUAAAAUAAGACCCGAAGCUAAGUGAUCUACCUAUGAAUAGGUUGAUAU